GAUGAAGAACGUAGCGAAAUGCGAUAAGUAAUGUGAAUUGCAGAAUUCAGUGAAUCAUCGAAUCUUUGAACGCACAUUGCGCCCCUUGGUAUUCCGAGGGGCAUGCCUGUUCGAGCGUCAUUAUAACCCCUCAAGCUCAGCUUGGUGUUGGGGCCUGCUGCACUGGCAGCCCUAAAAAUCAGUGGCGGCGCCAUCUGGCUCUAAGCGUAGUAAUUCUUCUCGCUAUGGAGUCCUGGUGGAUGCUUGCCAUCAACCCCCAAUUUUUCUAUGGUUGACCUCGGAUCAGGUAGGGAUACCCGCUGAACUUAAGCAUAUCAAUAAGCGGAGGA
rnacentral:misc_RNA from 1 species